rnacentral:rRNA from 1 species
UACAGAGGGUGCAAGCGUUGUUCGGAAUUAUUGGGCGUAAAGCGCGUGUAGGCGGCCUUGCAAGUCGGGUGUGAAAGCCCUCAGCUCAACUGAGGAAGUGCGCCCGAAACUGCUGGGCUUGAGUGCCGGAGAGGGUGGCGGAAUUCCCCAAGUAGAGGUGAAAUUCGUAGAUAUGGGGAGGAACACCGGUGGCGAAGGCGGCCACCUGGACGGUAACUGACGCUGAGACGCGAAAGCGUGGGGAGCAAACAGGAUUAGAUACCCUCGUAGUCC